UUAAAUUGAAGAGUUUGAUCAUGGCUCAGAUUGAACGCUGGCGGCAGGCCUAACACAUGCAAGUCGAACGGUAACAGGAAGCAGCUUGCUGCUUUGCUGACGAGUGGCGGACGGGUGAGUAAUGUCUGGGAAACUGCCUGAUGGAGGGGGAUAACUACUGGAAACGGUAGCUAAUACCGCAUAACGUCGCAAGACCAAAGAGGGGGACCUUCGGGCCUCUUGCCAUCGGAUGUGCCCAGAUGGGAUUAGCUAGUAGGUGGGGUAAAGGCUCACCUAGGCGACGAUCCCUAGCUGGUCUGAGAGGAUGACCAGCCACACUGGAACUGAGACACGGUCCAGACUCCUACGGGAGGCAGCAGUGGGGAAUAUUGCACAAUGGGCGCAAGCCUGAUGCAGCCAUGCCGCGUGUAUGAAGAAGGCCUUCGGGUUGUAAAGUACUUUCAGCGGGGAGGAAGGGAGUAAAGUUAAUACCUUUGCUCAUUGACGUUACCCGCAGAAGAAGCACCGGCUAACUCCGUGCCAGCAGCCGCGGUAAUACGGAGGGUGCAAGCGUUAAUCGGAAUUACUGGGCGUAAAGCGCACGCAGGCGGUUUGUUAAGUCAGAUGUGAAAUCCCCGGGCUCAACCUGGGAACUGCAUCUGAUACUGGCAAGCUUGAGUCUCGUAGAGGGGGGUAGAAUUCCAGGUGUAGCGGUGAAAUGCGUAGAGAUCUGGAGGAAUACCGGUGGCGAAGGCGGCCCCCUGGACGAAGACUGACGCUCAGGUGCGAAAGCGUGGGGAGCAAACAGGAUUAGAUACCCUGGUAGUCCACGCCGUAAACGAUGUCGACUUGGAGGUUGUGCCCUUGAGGCGUGGCUUCCGGAGCUAACGCGUUAAGUCGACCGCCUGGGGAGUACGGCCGCAAGGUUAAAACUCAAAUGAAUUGACGGGGGCCCGCACAAGCGGUGGAGCAUGUGGUUUAAUUCGAUGCAACGCGAAGAACCUUACCUGGUCUUGACAUCCACGGAAGUUUUCAGAGAUGAGAAUGUGCCUUCGGGAACCGUGAGACAGGUGCUGCAUGGCUGUCGUCAGCUCGUGUUGUGAAAUGUUGGGUUAAGUCCCGCAACGAGCGCAACCCUUAUCCUUUGUUGCCAGCGGUCCGGCCGGGAACUCAAAGGAGACUGCCAGUGAUAAACUGGAGGAAGGUGGGGAUGACGUCAAGUCAUCAUGGCCCUUACGACCAGGGCUACACACGUGCUACAAUGGCGCAUACAAAGAGAAGCGACCUCGCGAGAGCAAGCGGACCUCAUAAAGUGCGUCGUAGUCCGGAUUGGAGUCUGCAACUCGACUCCAUGAAGUCGGAAUCGCUAGUAAUCGUGGAUCAGAAUGCCACGGUGAAUACGUUCCCGGGCCUUGUACACACCGCCCGUCACACCAUGGGAGUGGGUUGCAAAAGAAGUAGGUAGCUUAACCUUCGGGAGGGCGCUUACCACUUUGUGAUUCAUGACUGGGGUGAAGUCGUAACAAGGUAACCGUAGGGGAACCUGCGGUUGGAUCACCUCCUUACCUUAAAGAAGC
rnacentral:rRNA from 2 species